UGGGGAAUAUUGGACAAUGGGGGCAACCCUGAUCCAGCAAUGCCGCGUGUGUGAAGAAGGUCUUCGGAUUGUAAAGCACUUUCGACGGGGACGAUGAUGACGGUACCCGUAGAAGAAGCCCCGGCUAACUUCGUGCCAGCAGCCGCGGUAAUACGAAGGGGGCUAGCGUUGCUCGGAAUGACUGGGCGUAAAGGGCGUGUAGGCGGUUUACACAGUCAGAUGUGAAAUCCCCGGGCUUAACCUGGGAGCUGCAUUUGAUACGUGUAGACUAGAGUGUGAGAGAGGGUUGUGGAAUUCCCAGUGUAGAGGUGAAAUUCGUAGAUAUUGGGAAGAACACCGGUGGCGAAGGCGGCAACCUGGCUCAUGACUGACGCUGAGGCGCGAAAGCGUGGGGAGCAACAGGAUUAGAUACCCUGGUAGUCCACGCUGUAAACGAUGUGUGCUAGAUGUUGGGUAACUUUGUUAUUCAGUGUCGCAGUUAACGCGUUAAGCACACCGCCUGGGGGAGUACGGGCCGCA
rnacentral:rRNA from 1 species